rnacentral:rRNA from 1 species
AUUGAACGCUGGCGGCAUGCUUUACACAUGCAAGUCGAACGGUAACAGGCCGCAAGGUGCUGACGAGUGGCGAACGGGUGAGUAAUGCAUCGGAACGUGCCCAGUCGUGGGGGAUAACGCAGCGAAAGCUGUGCUAAUACCGCAUACGAUCUGUGGAUGAAAGCGGGGGACCGAAAGGCCUCGCGCGAUUGGAGCGGCCGAUGUCAGGUUAGGUAGUUGGUGGGGUAAAGGCUCACCAAGCCAACGAUCUGUAGCUGGUCUGAGAGGACGACCAGCCACACUGGGACUGUGACACGGCCCAGACUCCUACGGGAGGCAGCAGUGGGGAAUUUUGGACAAUGGGCGCAAGCCUGAUCCAGCAAUGCCGCGUGCAGGAAGAAGGCCUUCGGGUUGUAAACUGCUUUUGUACGGAGCGAAAAGGCUCUCUCUAAUACAGGGGGCUCAUGACGGUACCGUAAGAAUAAGCACCGGCUAACUACGUGCCAGCAGCCGCGGUAAUAC